AGCGAACGCUGGCGGCAGGCUUAACACAUGCAAGUCGAACGCAUCGCAAGAUGAGUGGCAGACGGGUGAGUAACGCGUGGGAAUCUACCUAGUUCUACGGAACAACAGUUGGAAACGACUGCUAAUACCGUAUACGCCCUAUGGGGGAAAGAUUCAUCGGAAUUAGAUGAGCCCGCGUAAGAUUAGCUAGUUGGUGGGGUAAUGGCCUACCAAGGCGACGAUCUUUAGCUGGUCUGAGAGGAUGAUCAGCCACACUGGGACUGAGACACGGCCCAGACUCCUACGGGAGGCAGCAGUGGGGAAUAUUGGACAAUGGGCGCAAGCCUGAUCCAGCCAUGCCGCGUGAGUGAUGAAGGCCUUAGGGUUGUAAAGCUCUUUCAGUGGGGACGAUAAUGACAGUACCCACAGAAGAAGCCCCGGCUAACUUCGUGCUAGCCGCCGCGGUAAUAC
rnacentral:rRNA from 1 species